GGAGAACUGUCCGAGUCUGGCCGAAGGAGCACGCCUGGAAAGUGUGUAAGCGCUAUAAGCAGCGCUUCAAGGGUUCGAAUCCCUUGUUCUCCA
rnacentral:tRNA from 1 species